UAUCUCUGUAGAGUCUGCAUAUCAAUAAGCGGAGGAAAAGAAACUAACUAGGAUUCCCUCAGUAACGGCGAGUGAAGCGGGAAGAGCUCAAAUUUGAAAUCUUCAAGGUUCUACCUAGACGAAUUGUAGUUUAAAGAAGUGUUUUCUGUUGAAGUUUCGGUAAAAGUUCUUUGGAAUAGGACAUCAUAGAGGGUGAGAAUCCCGUAUUUGACCAUUACUUUCCAGCUGUUGUGAUACACUUUCAAAGAGUCGGAUUGUUUGGGAAUGCAGUCCAAAAUGGGUGGUAAAUUUCAUCUAAAGCUAAAUACUGGCGAGAGACCGAUAGCGAACAAGUACCGUGAGGGAAAGAUGAAAAGAACUUUGAAAAGAGAGUUAAACAGUACGUGAAAUUGUCAAAAGGGAAGCGUUUGACACCAGUGUUGUUUUCUCGAAAAUCAAUUAAAAAUGCUGGAUUUUGUGUUGUAUUGACUUUAUCAGCUUUCUGCACUUUUUUCUUGUCUUUUUUAAUGCACUUUUCGUUUAACAAGUCAACAUCAAUUUCUUUUGUUGUAAAAGAGUCAUUGGAAGGUGGCUUUCUUUUCGGAGAAAGUGUUUAUAGCCUUUGACUUCUGCAAGUCGGAGAGAUUGAGGUCUGCAGCGUAGAUCCUUCGGGGUUAGAUACAUUUGUGCUAAGUUAUAGCCUUUCAUAGACAACUUGUUGACUAUGAUCAGUCAUGUAGCUUACUCGCUUAUGUUAUUUUACCUACGCUUAGGAUGUUGAUCUCUCACAGUCGAGC
rnacentral:rRNA from 1 species